AUGGAAAAAAGCCAACCGAAGCAAAAUCCGAACGUAUCUCUAAAUAAACCUAGCUGAUACACCCCACGUACCUGCCUCCAGACUCCAAAAUCGAUCUCGAUACCCCGACCUUGCCGCUCCCCCUCCAAACUCAGGACCUGCUCCUCUCGACGUCGCACACUGACACCUCGCUCACCUCGCUCGAUUCGCUGCGAUACGCCUCCCUGCUCUCACGUGCUCUCCCUCCGACUCGACUGAUCAUGCCACUUCUGGCUCUGGUAGUCCGCAGCUCAGAAAAUCGGAGAGUUGCCAUGUUAGGAAGUCCUCGUGUUAGACUGUUGCGGUCGGUUCAACUGUGGGCGCAUUGCUGGACCCAAGAUGAACUGAUCUCAUAGUAACUCUUGGAGAGACAACUGGGAAGCCUGCAUUUGAGAGAGUUCUCGAAAGAAUGAAGAGGAGCCCUGAAGGCAGAGAUAUGUGAUACUGCUAUGAGGCAACCCUCCAGCGGUUAGAUGCUUAAAAGGAACCCAGGAGAAGGUACCUUGGUUUCGCUUGUAUUGAAUGUCAUUAUGCUGCAUGCUUUGCCCUUCUGUUCUUCCUAGGUAAAGCUACUGGGUUCGCUUGGAAAUCUAUUUAAAUUGAAUCUUAGUGUCACUGCUCUUGAUAAGUUUGGCUUCUUCUUGUAGCUUCUGUUUUUUACCUUUUCCUAUUGGUGUCAGCUAUUUGGUUUGUGUUUGAAAUUGCGAGGAGGGUUACUUUAUUUAUUCACUUUUGUAUUAGUUAUCUGAAAUAUAUAAGUGCAUGUACAUGCAUUCUGAAAUGUGCAUUGGAUCUUCUAAAACAGGGUUCAGUUGAUGCGUUGUACUAUGUCAUGUUUUUUUUUUUUUGAUGUGAAACUAAAUGCAUGAAAUUGUUUUCAGACAUCUAUGUUUUUCUUUCCGUCUGUCUGUGCGAGGGAGCAUUGUAUAUUAGUUUGAGUUGUUUGUUUUACCUUCUAAAUACAUGCAUACCCUAAUGAGAUUGCAUUGCAUCUGAUUCAUGGACAUUCUGGAGGCACACUUGCACAGGAGGCAUGAGGCUGCUGCUGGAUCUAUAACAAAUUCAGAUUUCAGGUGAGGGCUGUGCCUGAUCUCUUGGUUGAAUCUGCCUUGCCGAUUUUGUUACAAUCGCAGUGAAAGGUCUACUCUCUGUAAGCUUGUUGUUCGGUAUUCUUACUAACGUAGCAUCUUGCUGGGUGCGAACAUGGGUGGGCUCUCAUGUUUUAGUCUGUCUCUGCAUCUUCACAUGGUAUUCUUCAAUGUAGCUGUAGUUAAGCUUUUAUGCGCCAUCUUAAAUAAUUAUACUUUAUUGCUUCAGAUAACUCCAGAUGCAACAUUGUUGUUCUCUUAUUUACCUCUCCAGCUUGCUAAUAUACCAAUGUCUUCCUGUUUUUGCUAUCAAUCCAAGGCCACAUGAACUAUCUGUGUGAAAUGUGGCGAUCAAAUCCUUUGUUUCUAACGGUCCACCCAACAUUUUCGAUAUAAAUAGUAUUUAUUUUUGCAACACAAUCUGUUAUUCUUUCAAACAUAAUCUUUCAUACAAGUUUUCAAUUCUGCAAACAACGCUCGCACAAAAGAGUUCCUCGGGUACAAAUACAUAUUACAAUCACCAAUUCAAAUACAUAUUACAACAACCAAUCAACCACCAUAAUUAAUAAAACUCUAAAUACGUAUUACCAUCACCAUUCAACUACCAUAAUUAAAAGAUCUCUUCAACUUCCUAAAAAGGCCACUUAUUUUUCUAAGAAGCCGGCCAGAAAUAAUCAAGAGGCCAGCUGUCCAAAUUAAUUAAUCGGUCCGAGAGUAAUUUGAAGUCUUAAUCCAACCACCUAUGUUUACAGAACAGCAACUUUGUGACAGGGAAUGUAUCGACAUGCCGUUAAGACGACAAUAGUGUACGCGACAAGAGCUAAAGAAACCAAACAGAUGAAGGCGCGUCUCUGAUAUAUUUUCGUCGUAUCGCUCCUCAACAUCUCCGCCGGCUGCUCCAGCUGCUGAUCGUGAUCCGAGGAGAAAAUCACAAUCUCGAGGUGAACCAAAUCUUGCUCAAGAAAAUUGAUAUCGUAAUAACGUUGAGUACGCUCCCAUCUCGUGACGAAACUCUUGAAGGGGAUGGUGAAGAUGACACAAUUCAGACACGAGAGGCUGAACGGCGCCCACCAGAACUUGCACGGAAUGUUUGGAUUUUGGCUAACAGAAUGGAAUAUGAAGGUUUGUAGGGAGAUAUAAAAGACGACCAGCGAUAUCAACGUUGUUCCCAGACGGCUUACUGCUUCCCCUUGUUUAUCGCCGAUGCUUUCCAGUGUCUUCUGUUUAUUCACCGCCUUGGCUAGUUCUUGUGGGAGCGCUGUUCCUGUCGUUUGUGUGAGUGACGGAACAUGGCAGUCCAUAGCUAAAAUUGUUGAUCUCUUCCAAGAGGAUAUCCUGAUAUCUAGCAGCUGGAGGAAUAGCGCAAGAAAAUGUUUAAUAAUUUCCGCGAAAUAGACACAAACCGUGAGCUGUACGUCAUUAUCAUAUAAAAAUAAUACUCAUUUCGUUGAAAGUGCUUG
rnacentral:sRNA from 1 species